CACAUUAGCCGAUGUCCAAUGUCUAUGAGUCAUGUGUUUUAUCGCUUGAUGCGAGUUUUUUUCAUACUUGCAUGGCGUAUUAUAUUGAAAUAGUAGAGCAGGCGCAAGUACACCACACAUGGGGAAAAAUUAUUGUCAUAGUUGCACAUCUGACUACCCCUUCUGGGUAAAAGCGUGAUGUGAGAUUGCUUAGAGCAGACGUAUCUACGCUGUAUAUCUGGACACGGCUCGUAUCGGCCUAGUCAAAGCACUGCGGCAUACAAAUGAGCUAUUAUCUUCCUUACAAUACCAAUAAAUUUGCUUAGUAUUACAAAUUUAUUCACAGACUUCUUUACGAACGUGUUUACAGAGUGGGAGCAUUUCCCCAAGACAAUAGACUAACUUUAGCUUGCAACUCCAUGAUGUCCGUUUUCGGAACAAAAAGUAUGAACGGAUAUAGAUAUUGUAAGAUUUCUUUUAUAAUGAAAAUUGUUUCGAUAAAAUAACGUGUAAACAUACUCUCAUUCAGCUUUAUAAAAUGAUAUAAAUAUGAAAUAUUCUUAUAAAUUUAAAUUAUUUUGCUCAAGUAUUGAAUAGUAAUUUAUAAAACAUGAAUGUCGUGGACAGCUAUUGUCAAGACAAGCAUGAAAUCAGAGAUACGGCUCACAAAUGGCGUAAAAUUGAACAAAUUGUGUUUUCAAUGAAAAAUACCAGUUGGCAAGAUGGUGUGCACGAUUACACAUCUGUUAUUGUUUACAGGCGUAUGUUUCAAGUCUGUCUACAGCGAAUGCGAUGCUAGGUGUUCUGGCAACAGCUGUAAUGCAGGGGUAAAUAUUUAAUUAUUCAACUAGAUA